rnacentral:sRNA from 1 species
GAGAUGGCGCCGCCAGCGGGCGGGGCGGCGGCGGCGGCCUCGGACUUGGGCUCCGCUGCAGUGCUCUUGGCUGUGCACGCCGCGGUGAGGCCGCUGGGCGCCGGGCCAGACGCCGAGGCACAGCUGCGGAGGCUGCAGCUGAGCGCGGACCCUGAGCGGCCUGGGCGCUUCCGGCUGGAGCUGCUGGGCGCGGGACCCGGGGCGGUUAAUUUGGAGUGGCCCCUGGAGUCAGUCUCCUACACCAUCCGAGGCCCCACCCAGCACGAGCUACAGCCUCCACCAGGAGGGCCUGGAACCCUCAGCCUGCACUUCCUCAACCCUCAGGAAGCUCAGCGGUGGGCAGUCCUAGUCCGAGGUGCCACCGUGGAAGGACAGAAUGGUCAGUGCCCUGUAAUGGAUACAAUUACAAUUUGGAAUAGCCUUGGCCCCCCAGUCCUGGUUGGGGAAGUUGAAUCCACCUUCCCCACUGCUGGAUGUCUGGGAAGGCUUCCAGGAGGGAGUAGGUGGAGCCUGGAGUAGCUUGGAGUACUUGGAGUGGCUCCUGGAGUCAGUCUCCUACACCAUCUGAGGCCCCAGCCAGCAGAAGUUGCAGCCUCCACCAGGAAGCCCUGGA